rnacentral:lncRNA from 1 species
AGAAGAUGAUGUUACUUUCAAUAUGACAGAAGGUGGAUGAAGUGGUGGACUGCCCCUCCACACCUAUGGACACGCCCCCACUGAUAUUCCUUCUAAUUGCAACAUGGGAGAGGAGGAUAUGACACGCGAUAUCACAGGGAGUAGAAACGCCCCUGUGAUACUGUUCUUAAUAUUCAGGGAGGAAGAGGAUAAUAUUACUCCCAAUACAGAUGGGUGUACACCCGUCUGUGAAAGAGUUCGUAAUCUCCAGAGGGGGAGAUGAUAUUACUCACAAUAUGGUAAAGAGGCUGUGAGUCCACGGAGGAUCCUCAGAGCCAGCGGGGGAAGAGGGGCUGGCUCUCAGUCCCCGCCUCACGGGGGUGCCUCCCCCCACUGCGAUGGGGGUCCUAAGAGCCAGUGGGGGAAGAGGGGCUGGCUCCUAAGAGCCAGUGGGGGAAGAGGAGCUGGCUCUCAGUCUCCGCCUCGCGAGGUGCCUCCCCACCUUGCGAUCGGGGUCCCAAGAGCCAGGGGGGAAGAGGGGCUGGCUCUCUUUGUGGAUGAUUCUUUUUCCAUUCUCAGGCAGUUUUCUUUUUUCUUUCUUUCUUUUUUUUUUUUUUGAGACUGAGUCUUGCUCUGUUGCCCAUGCUUUGCUGGAUCUCGGGUGACUGCAACCACUGCCUCCCAGGUUCAAGAGAUUCUCCUGCCUCAGCCUCCUGAGUAGCUGGGACUAGAGGCGUGUGUCACCACACCCAGCUAAUUUUUGUAUUUUUAGUAGAGAUGGGGUUUCACCAUGUUUGCCAGGAUGGUCUCUAUCUCCUGACCUUGUGAUCCACCCACCUCAGCCUCCCAAACUGCUGGGAUUGCAGGUGCGAGCCACCGGGUCCAGCCUCUCAGGCGAUUUUCAUACCUGCAUACUCUGAUCACUACUCUGUUAAACAGUCAAGUAGGGUAAGUAUUAUCUUCAGAUUUCCAGAGCUCUGUCUCUGUACAGCCCUCUCCUCCUCAAUAUUCUGCCCUAUGAAUUCUAGCCACAUUGGCCUUCCCAGACUCACAGUUCUGUCCCCUCAACUCAGGAAGAUCUCUGAGCUCCAUCUGCAUUCUUUCUUCCUGUGCUGUGGCCUGGAAAGUUUUCUAAGGUGUUUGGGAGGUCAAUUGUGGGGCUAGCCUCAUUUGUUUCUCAUUUCUUGAGGAUCACUGCCUUUUGAUGCUUGAUUCCAGUGAUUGAUUCCCUUUGUUGCUUGAGGGCCAUAGUUUCAUAUAUUUUCUCCAGUAUUUUUGUUGUUUUAGGUCAGAAAGUAAUUUUGGUCUCUGUUACUCCAUCUUGGCCAGAAGUGUAAGACCUAAGCAUUUACACAUCAAAAUACUGCACACAUAAUUUUAGUUUAAGCCACUUUUUAAAAAAUCUCCUUCAUUUUCCAUUUAGCAUUCUAUUUAGGGUAUUACAUUGGUUUUUUUGAAAUUCUGUUAUUGGCAGUUUCUAUUGCCUCUCAAUCCCAUUUAAAGAUAGUGCAUAGGGUAUUCUAAAAUAGCUGUUAAGCAAAGAGAAAAUUGGGCCUGAUAGGGUGAGAAUCACAGCUCUAAUACCUAGAGUGACCUUAUAAUGUAUUGUCCAAAGGAGAUAUUUUUGACAGUGAAAGAGGGUGUUGUUAGUAAUUAUAUCAGGACCAUGGCCUAAACCAGGACUAUCCCAGGCAGCCUGGGACAUAUUUGUACCCCAUCUCUAUUUAAUGCCUUUAUACAAUUCUUUACUUAAUUCUACCAGCCUUUAUUGAGCCUGCUUUCUUUGUCUAGCUGAGUGCCACGUGCUGACAUCACUAAGAUCAAUACAGCAAACUCUGAAAGAUGGACAGAGAGACAGGAGAUGGUCCUUUAUAAUGCAGUGUGAUCUGUGCUGCAAUAGAGAUGGAAGAGUGUUCUGAUCGGCUGGAAAACAACGCACAUGGGAAGCUGUACAGAAAUGAGUGGGGAAAGUUUUGGAAGCUAGAAGUUCAAAACGAGGUGUUGGCAGCACCAUGCUCUCUCUGAAGAUGCUAGGAAGAAUCUGCUCCAUGCCUUUCCAUUCGCUUCUGGGGUUUCCUGCAAGCCCUGACAUUCCUUGGCUUGUAGAUGCAUCACCCCAGUUUCUGCCCCCAUCAUCACAUGGCCUCCUCUCUGCGUGUGCCUCUGCAUUCCCUCUAUUCUUCUUCUAAGGACACCGACACCAGUCAUAGUGGAUUAAGGGUCCACUCCUAACUAAUUACAUCUGCAACAACCCUAUUUCCAAAUAAAGUCACAUUCUAAGA